CUUGGAUUGCCUCCAGCCUUGGAAUUAUUGACAGUUAUCUUCAAUUUCCUUUUAGUAGUUUGUACUAAUACUUACAUUUGUCACAACCCCACGAACUUCUACUUUUCUUUGCACAUCAUGCUAGAUAAAUGUACUCUUGGCUGUGGUCGUGACUUAUUGUGCAGAAGAGAAGUGGUCCCACUUAGAAAUCUACCUGCUCUUAGUAGGAAACAGUUCCUCCAAUAUUAUACCACAACGGACAGAUGGCUGCCCACAUUCUGCGUUCCAGAAGCCUACCCGCAUUUCCCUCUUCUUCACCACCAAUGCAGCCACAAAAACUGACUGAAGUUUGGGUCAUAAUAUUGACACAUUACAAAAUAUUGCAGGUACUUUUGUUACUACCCAACUGGAGAAACAGAAUGCUUUGGGGAGUUUCAACACACUGAAGAAAGGCAAAGAGGAUACACUCAUCAGUAGCUAUGCAUAUUUUAACAGAGCAUCAAAGGAACAAAAAGAAAAAUUUCUGAAGAACGUGGCUUUUCCUUGCUAGCCAACCAGUUGUAUCUUCAUCAGGGAAAUCAGGAAUUGUUAGAGUGCUUCAUUGAGAUGUUCUUUGGUCGACUUAUGGGCCUUGAUGAAGAAUUUUAUCUAGAUGUGAAAAGCAUGGGACUUUAUAGAAUUGGUCUGUCAUUCCUAUUCUGGAACUAAUAGAGACUUCUCCAUAUGACACCGCACUCCUGCAUAAUGCUCUUUUACUUCUCCACAUCUUAAAUUCU